UACGAAGGGGGGCUAGCGUUGCUCGGAAUCACUGGGCGUAAAGGGCGCGUAGGCGGCCAUUCAAGUCGGAGGUGAAAGCCCCAGGGCUCAACCCUGGAAUUGCCUUCGAUACUGUUUGGCUAGAGACCGGAAGAGGUAAGUGGAACUGCGAGUGUAGAGGUGAAAUUCGUAGAUAUUCGCAAGAACACCAGUGGCGAAGGCGGCUUACUGGUCCGGUUCUGACGCUGAGGCGCGAAAGCGUGGGGGAGCAAACAGG
rnacentral:rRNA from 1 species